rnacentral:rRNA from 1 species
GACGAACGCUGGCGGCGCGCCUAACACAUGCAAGUCGAACGGAGCUGCGAGAAGCUUGCUUUUCUUAGCUUAGUGGCGAACGGGUGAGUAACGCGUGAGUAACCUGCCCUGGAGUGGGGGACAACAGUUGGAAACGACUGCUAAUACCGCAUAAGCCCACGAUCCGGCAUCGGCUUGAGGGAAAAGGAUUUAUUCGCUUCAGGAUGGACUCGCGUCCAAUUAGCUAGUUGGUGAGGUAACGGCCCACCAAGGCGACGAUUGGUAGCCGGACUGAGAGGUUGAACGGCCACAUUGGGACUGAGACACGGCCCAGACUCCUACGGGAGGCAGCAGUGGGGGAUAUUGCACAAUGGGGGAAACCCUGAUGCAGCGACGACGCGUGGAGGAAGAAGGUUUUCGGAUUGUAAACUCCUGUCGUUAGGGACGAUAAUGACGGUACCUAACAAGAAAGCACCGGCUAACUACGUG